rnacentral:lncRNA from 1 species
UCUAGAAUAAGAAGAUGUUAAAAACUUAUAUACUUGGAUGGGUUUUGGUCCAGCGUAACAAGGAACAAAGUAAACAUCCACGUGUCGCGCAAGGAGUGCCUGGAAAAUUUGCUGCAGGAAAUGUGAAACGUGGCAGAUCCUUAUUCGCAGAUUCCGAAGGGUGUAGUGCGUCUGUAGUGCACCUUCACAUACCGGAUAGGAGUCUGGGGAAUAGAUCCUAAAGUCACGUGUAUGGAGGGAAGGUAUGCACCCAACGUGUCGCAAUCGUGUUCGUUGGAUCAGUGGGUGCACCGUGUCUACGAUACACACGACCACACCUGAUCACACGCUGGCCAAAGGAGUGCUGAAUCUAGUGUAACACGUUCACGCUUACAACCGUGCACCUGUCAACGUGUCGUGUGAUGAUUGGCUGCCGUUGGUGGUCAAAAGAACUCAUUGACCAAUAUGCCUCACGGUGCAAUGUGAUUGGCCAGAAGAAGAGUUCACGGUGCCUAACGUGUGGCUGGUUGCACCGAAUCACUUCUUUGAAAAUUUCCUCGCUUUCUCUUACUCUUUCUGGUUUCUUUCUCUCUCCUUUUUGGCUUUUUCUUAGUUUUUUU